GACGAACGCUGGCGGCGUGCCUAACACAUGCAAGUCGAGCGGAGUCGAUCGACGGAAGCCUUCGGGCGGAAGAUGGUUGACUUAGCGGCGGAUGGGUGAGUAACGCGUGGGCAACCUGCCUCGAAGACCGGGAUAACAGCCCGAAAGGGCUGCUAAUACCGGAUGUGGUCAAGGAUCCGCAUGGAUUUUUGAUUAAAGGGGAAACCCGUUUCGAGAUGGGCCCGCGUCCUAUCAGCUAGUUGGUGAGGUAAAAGCUCACCAAGGCGACGACGGGUAGCCGGCCUGAGAGGGUGACCGGCCACACUGGAACUGAGACACGGUCCAGACUCCUACGGGGGCGACGCGACGUAGGGUAGGGUAACUUUUUCCCAACCAAAUUGGGGGACCGGAAAAAGGUUCCUUGGAACCUUAGGGACGGACCGAACCCGGCCCGGUCGGUAGGGGAACGAAAGGGACUAGUAACGGUACUUUUCGGGGGUUCGGUUAAACGUUAAACGUCGUUUUACUUUUUAGGGUUACGGGGAAAAGGAAACUUAACUUCCCGUACCGGGUUAACCGUAAGGGUAGGAACUUUAAGGGAACGGUUACCCGGGUAACGUAAAUUUAAACGGGUAGUCCCGGACGUAACCUACCGGUCCGGCCCGGUAAAAGGACGUAAGGUACCCGACCGGUUAAAGGAAGGUACGGGUACC
rnacentral:rRNA from 1 species